rnacentral:rRNA from 1 species
UACGGGGGGGGCAAGCGUUGUUCGGAAUUACUGGGCGUAAAGGGCUCGUAGGUGGCCAACUAAGUCAGACGUGAAAUCCCUCAGCUUAACUGGGGAACUGCGUCUGAUACUGGAUGGCUUGAGUUUGGGAGAGGGAUGCGGAAUUCCAGGUGUAGCGGUGAAAUGCGUAGAUAUCUGGAGGAACACCUGUGGCGAAAGCGGCGCACUGGACCACAACUGACGCUGAGGCGCGAAAGCUAGGGAAGCAAACAGG